AUUGAACGCUGGCGGCAUGCCUUACACAUGCAAGUCGAACGGCAGCGGACCUUCGGGUGCCGGCGAGUGGCGAACGGGUGAGUAAUAUAUCGGAACGUACCUUUCAGUGGGGGAUAACGUAGCGAAAGUUACGCUAAUACCGCAUAUUCUGUGAGCAGGAAAGCAGGGGACCUUCGGGCCUUGCGCUAUGAGAUGAGCUUGCGUCCGAUUAGCUAGUUGGUGGGGUAAAGGACCUACCAAGGCGACGAUCGGUAACUGGUCUGAGAGGAUGAUCAGUCACACUGGAACUGAGACACGGUCCAGACUCCUACGGGAGGCAGCAGUGGGGAAUAUUGGACAAUGGGGGCGAACCCUCGAUCCAGCCAUGCCGCGUGUGUG
rnacentral:rRNA from 1 species